rnacentral:tRNA from 1 species
GUUUUCGUAGUGCAGUGGUUAUCACGUUUACCUCACACGCGAAAAGCCCCCGGUUUGAACCCGGGCGGAAACA